CCACUUCAAGCAAUUAUAUUAAAAUUGGAACUAGACAGAGAAGAUUAGUAUGGCCCCUUGUGCAAGGAUGACAUGCAAAUUUGAGAAGCCUUCCAUAUUUUU